CAAACACAACAUUGUUCUCAGACGGAAGAAUGGAAAGGUUUGUUUCAAAGUCCCAACUUUUUUUUUUUUUUUUCUAAGAGGCACCCAAGUUGUUUUAACAAGUUGCUACAAAACUUGGGCUUCCUGAGGUGAGCCUGUUGCGCACAGAGCUUGUACUGUACCAAAAUCCAGGGAGGGAGGGAUCAGAGUUAGUCAUUAAAAAAGAAAAAAAAAAAAGAAAAAGCCCCAGGCACUUCAUGCCUGGAAAUGAUGUAACAGGCAGCCACUCCUCUGUUAGAACUACAACCAAACAAUGCUCGGGCAAUCCGCGGCAGCUGCUCUCCAAAUGUCAGCGCCAGCCCGGUCCAAAGAGCUUGAAAGGCACCAAGCUGGAGGACUUUGUGCUGUACCUUUCUCGCCCACAUUUUCCCCAAGCACUCCCAGGAACCUGGCAACAGGUAACGUGGCAACCUUCGCCUUGUAAAAUGGCAAGUGGCAUAAUUUCAGAGAACAGAUGGAUGCAUUUUUUUUUUAAAGCCAGCUGCAUCUCCCCCCGCCCCCCUCACCUCCAUACCCCGCCCCUCUCCCCCCCCCCCCCCCCCCCCCCAGCCAAGAGACUGGAGAAAAAGGUAUUGCUUGCGGGCAGCCCUACUCUCGAGGGCCGCCUUGUGGCCAAGAUCGGAACCUCAGCGAGGUACUUGGAAAUCCGCGGCUCAGCUCCAAGGCCGAAUGCCACUCGCACAAAAGAACUCCUGUUGACAUCUCAUUUACAAUCUCCCCCAGGACACAGACAAGACCAUUUCAAUAAACCCGGCUCAGAGACACCUAUUGUUCGGAAUCUUCAACUAGCAACAGGCUUCCACCACAACCUAUUGUUUUGUAAAAUAAAGGAUUUUGAAGGAGAAGGAUUGAGACUGUGGACGCCAUGAAAAGAGGAAGGAAAAAAGUCCCUUUGACCUGAUGCUGUCACAGAGCGUGCAAGAAGAAUGAAGUUAAUGGAUUUCCAUUUUUAUAAGAAGUGCGUAAGAAACGCCUGUUAAGUUUCUGAACUGGCGAUGGAGAAUUCCAAAUUUGCUGCCAGCUUGGUGCAUCGAGAAGCAAACUCCUGCCCACGGGUUUGCUAAAUGCAAAGCCCCGGGCUAUACUUACCCUAUUCUCAGCCUUACCAAAGUCCUGAUAGCCCCAAUAGCAGAGCACCAGCUUGCCUUUAUUUUGUAGAAAAUUUGUCAGAAAAUUGUGAUAAGAAGAAAUUGACUUCAAAAUGCAUUCUAACAAAGAAAAAAAAGUCACUACUGUAAUUCUGUAUAAAAGGACCUCAAUGCUGUUGACUUUUCCAAGCAGCCAUGACUUUGGGGGAUGGCGAGCCCCUUCCUAGAUUUGGAGGCUGAGUCUUGUUUGAUGGGAAGAUUGAUGGGAAUGCUUCUGGGAAGGAUCACCUCCAUAUCCCUUUUCUUGCUCUGGAUACUGUCAUCACCAAGAGAUACCCUGAACUGUGGCUGCCAUCUGGGGACCACAAAGAGCAUCUGCCUGAGAAGACAACCCACAGUGAAGAUGACAGGUGGAAACAUGGCAGGAAGCUGGUUUGGAUAUCUUCAGUGGCCGCCUUACCUCUAGAUUUGCUGUUACUGAGAAAAUGAAUGCCUUUCCCAUCUAAGUCACUUUGAUUUUAUUUCUAAAAUUUUAUUUGCUUAUUUAUUGAUUUGGCUUAGAGUUAUGCAAAUGGAUUUAUAUAUGCUAAGUGUCCUUCCUUGCUUGAACACUCCUAGUCAUUCAUCAAGAUUCACUUCAUUUAUGGUGCCUGGGUGGCUUAGUUGGUUAAGAGUCCAACUCUUGAUUUUGGCCAAGGUUGUGAUCUCACGG